AAAUUGAAGAGUUUGAUCAUGGCUCAGAUUGAACGCUGGCGGCAGGCCUAACACAUGCAAGUCGAACGGUAACAGGAAACAGCUUGCUGUUUCGCUGACGAGUGGCGGACGGGUGAGUAAUGUCUGGGAAACUGCCUGAUGGAGGGGGAUAACUACUGGAAACGGUAGCUAAUACCGCAUAAUGUCGCAAGACCAAAGAGGGGGACCCUCGGGCCUCUUGCCAUCGGAUGUGCCCAGAUGGGAUUAGCUUGUUGGUGGGGUAACGGCUCACCAAGGCGACGAUCCCUAGCUGGUCUGAGAGGAUGACCAGCCACACUGGAACUGAGACACGGUCCAGACUCCUACGGGAGGCAGCAGUGGGGAAUAUUGCACAAUGGGCGCAAG
rnacentral:rRNA from 1 species